rnacentral:rRNA from 1 species
GACGAACGCUGGCGGCGUGCUUAACACAUGCAAGUCGAACGAUGAAGCCGGAGCUUGCUCUGGUGAAUUAGUGGCGAACGGGUGAGUAACACGUGAGUAACCUGCCCUUGACUCUGGGAUAACUGCGGGAAACUGUAGCUAAUACCGGAUACGACCCUCGGAGGCAUCUCCUGGGGGUGGAAAGAAUUUCGGUCAAGGAUGGACUCGCGGCCUAUCAGCUAGUUGGUGAGGCAAAGGCUCACCAAGGCGACGACGGGUAGCCGGCCUGAGAGGGUGACCGGCCACACUGGGACUGAGACACGGCCCAGACUCCUACGGGAGGCAGCAGUGGGGAAUAUUGCACAAUGGGCGCAAGCCUGAUGCAGCAACGCCGCGUGAGGGAUGACGGCCUUCGGGUUGUAAACCUCUUUUAGCAGGGAAGAAGCGUAAGUGACGGUACCUGCAGAAAAAGCACCGGCUAACUACGUGCCAGCCGCCGCGGUAA